AUUGAACGCUGGCGGCAGGCCUAACACAUGCAAGUCGAGCGAGCGGGGGACGGGAGAGUAAUGUAUGGGGAUCGGUGCGAUAGAGGGGGAAGAGCAAUGGAAACGGGGGAUAAUAGCGCAUACUAUGGGAUGAACCCAUAUGGGUUUAGCUAGUAGGUGGGGGAAAGGCUCACCUAGGCGACGAUCUCUAGGUGGUCUGAGAGGAUGAUCAGCCACACUGGAACUGAGACACGGCCCAGACUCCUACGGGAGGCAGCAGUGGGGAAUAUUGCACAAUGGGCGCAAGCCUGAUGCAGCCAUGCCGCGUGUAUGAAGAAGGCCUUAGGGUUGUAAAGUACUUUCAGCGGGGAGGCGUUACCCGCAGAAGAAGCACCGGCUAACUCCGUGCCAGCAGCCGCGGUAAUAC
rnacentral:rRNA from 1 species